rnacentral:lncRNA from 1 species
GUGAUCCGCCCACCUUGGCUUCCCAGAGUACUGGGAUUACAGGCAGGAGACACCAUGCCUGGCCUUAGAUAUGCAAACUGAAGUUUAAAAAGCUUAGUUCUCUUGCCCAAGGUCUCAUAGCUAGUAAACAUAAAAGAAAAAAAAAAAAAACCUCAGUCAGAAUGGCAGCAUGGGAAGCCCACCUAACUCUCUUCUCUGAGUCCUUUGCCUAUUAAGAAAAACUCUCACCUCCUGGUCCAGGCACGAAACAACACUGUCUAUCCGACAGAGCCUGGGCUGGGAGCAGCACAGGGUCUAGACUUGCCUCUGCGUAGACCUCAGUGUAUUCUAAGAUCCUACUUUUCUUGGCCUGUUUCUCCAUCUACAAAGUGGAAGUCAUGUUCCUUGCCCCUCCCAGCACUUAAAGCUAUUAUAGAGAGGAAUGAGUUCAAAGGUAUGAAAACAUGUAGGAAGGAAAACGUACAAACGAUCUUCUAGAGUGACUUAUAAUAAAACUCUAGGCAUAUACCUCCAUGCUUAACUCCCUUCUUAGGCAUUCUCCUUUUGACUUCUAAGCAAGCAAGAUGUUCUAUCAUAAAAAGACAAUCAGUUGCAUUCACUGAAAGUAGAAAAAUGGACUCUCACAUUGAUGAAUGAUAGCAAACGACAAAGGCCGAUAUAGACAAGGUUUCCUGGUUAACCUUCAGUUCACCAAAAAGUCCUUUGAUUACAUCUUCUCUGAGCAUCCUAGUUAAUCAAGGCUUGUCGAGCAGAUCCUCACUCUCGGCUGUAAAGGCCUCUGCUCUUCCCCAUGUCCCUCUUCUUGUGCCCCUUAUAGUCUGCCCUUUACUCACUGCCCAGAUUGGACUCCUUCUCCCAGAACAGCAGGUAAAUUCAAUUAUCUUGGGGCUGAGUACGUAAAUUUUAGGCCUAGGCAUCCCUCCUAGAGACUCCAGAGUUGUCAGUUCCUUUAAAGUCAUUAAUACACAUAUACGGGUACGGAUGUGCUUCCACUGUGAUUCCACUCUUGGUGACAGCUGGGAAAGAGGCCCCACCACCUGACCCACCCGUCACAACACCCACCAUCCCCAUCUCAGACACGGAGCUCCAGAGACUGCCACCCUCCCUUCCCCUCCCCUGGGCCCCUCAGUGGCACCUCGAUGCUGCCAGUCUCUCCAGGCCUGCUGUGGCUUUUAGAAAACAGAGCAUGUCUAUUUUUAGCCCUUCUCAGCCUAAUAAUACUCCCCAACACCCAUUCAGCUUAAUCACUUUAUUGAGGACAAGAAGCGGGCUCUCUAGCCCGGGUGCUUCUGAUGUUAGGAAGUAGUAAAAUGUUCAAACUGGUUAAAAAUGACACUCAUUGGCUUGCCUUUGGUGUUUCUGAAACCUUAAUUGUGGCUCAGGCUGUGGAUCUAAAGAGCCUUGCAGGUUUCAGAGUCUGGCUUCCUUACCCCCUGCACCAUAAUUGAGGUGUUACAUUACAACUACGGCACUGACAUUUGCAGGCUCAAAAUUCAGCAGCCUUAAGAUGCCACACUUUUCAAAACAGAAAUAUUGCCUGCCACACUUAAUGCCUAUUCUAAGUACGAACCACCUCCCUGCCGGAAAAAAACAAACCAAAACAAAACAAAACUCGUCUUUUCUGGCUCCUCCCAUGCCAGAGGUCCAGGUGGGAAACUAUUUGCCAUAUUAAGCCCAUAGCUGCUUGAAAACAGAAAGGUUUGUUUGGUGUAAUUAGAAGACCUGCGAGUUUGGUGUGUGCAGGAAAUAGACUGUUGGCAGCUCUUCCACGUGCACCUUUGAGACCGUGACUUCCAAAGCUUCAGGGUGAGCAUCUGCAAACGUGCAAUCUGUACCACGUGAGCUGUGGGCUGGGAGAAAUGGGCAGCCUGGAAAGGGGAUGGAAACAACUUUGCCGCAGAGGUUAAGACCAGGGGCUUCAGGGUCAGGCAGCCCUGGGGUCACAGCGCAGCUCUGUCUCUUACUUGCUAGGUGAUCUUGGGCAAGUAAACUCAGUCUCCUCAUCUGUAAAAUGGAUGUCCUAACAGUACCAACUUGAAAUGGGUCUUGUGAGGCUCAAAUGAGAUGACGAAGUAAAGCAAUCUGGCACAGUACCUGGCACCUGUAGGCCUCCAGGAAAUGUCAGCUGCCACUGUCAUUAUCUCUGGUUUCCUCCUUUCUACCAUGGGCUCCUUCUAAGGCAAAGUGUUCAGUUUUUGUCUCUUCUGCCUUGCCCAGGACAAAAAGGAAAUCUGGGCACUAGAAUGGCUAACCAUGGCCAGCUGUGUGCGGUCGCAGGACAUUCUUGGACAUGUAGUAGGGAACUCCUAUGGACUCGGAGUGGGUAGAUGGAGCUGGACCCACAGCAGGAGGAUUGAGGGGAUGAUUUCUCAGGUUCCAUUCAGCUAAGCGAGUGAAAGGCACGUCCAAGGCCUGGAAACUCACCUGGACCAGGCUCUUCUACACUCCUGGGCAGCUUCCCCUGCUGCUCCUGUCUCCCUUUCCUUCCUUCUCAGGCAGGGUGCUUUGAAGCACCUUCAUAAACGUCCUGCUCUUCAGCAGGCAGAGGCGGAACGCCUCAUUAACUUUCCUAGCUAAUUUUACAAUUUAACCAAACACCACAUUUCUGCUUCGAUUCAGCCAGCCUCUGACUGUGACAAACUUUUAUAAUGUUGAGAUGGAGGAAGGAAGCAGAUAGUCCGUGCCAGAGACUGAGAUAAAGUUCUGAAAACUAAAGUGGGAGACGGAGAGUAGGAAAAAAAAAUAGCUCUGUGAACUCUAUGUAUGCUCCCAAAGCAGAAUUCUAGGCUGUGCAGGGCUGAGCAGUAGGGAAGAAAGCCACGCCGGCCUUGUGGUGUCAGAAAGAUGGAGUACUCCCGUGACAAUGACUCUUCCUGUCACCUUGGGGGGCCGGGGGCUAUAUCGGGAAGCACAGUUACAUGCUGUCCUCUGAGGGGCAUGAUUCAAUGCUGAUGGGCAGCAGGCCAGAGGUGAGGCAGGCCACCCAGAGGACACGUUCAGCUUGGCAAGGCCCCAGGGCCCCGUCCAAAGGGCACUGAAAGGCCCUUCCCAGCCCACUGAGCCGGCUCCUAGCUCCUGAUAGAGAUUCUGGAUGGGGGUGGAGUUCAGUGGGAGGACUGUAUGUCUAGGAAUGUUUCCCCAUCAAGAAUCCUAUGGGCUAGAAAAGAUCCCCAGGGUUGUCAUCACAGUCCUACAUACGCUGGUCCACGCUUUGCUCGGACAGGACAGACAGGACCUCAUUAGAGACAGAGAGUAUCAUUCGGCCUCAUUAUCUAUAAUCAGACCCUGCUCUUGGUGCAUAAAUAAGUAAUGAAGACAGUGCACUGUGAUUCUCUUUGCUCCCGGGUCAGCUUCAAAGGCUGCACCUGUCCCUCUCGAGCCUAUACUCCAGAGCUUCUGACUCCAGACCCCAAAUCUCAAUUAAUGCAAAACUGGCCCCCCAGCAGUGCUCUCUCAGAUGUGCUGGAUUAUGUCCAUUAGGCCCCAAUGAAGGCACUGGGAGAUCCGGGAUAUUCAGGCAAGAUAGUAGCCUCCCAAAAUAUCUGGUCUCUGGGCCUUUAUCCCGGGCUCAUAUUAGCAAAGGCAACUGAGGAAGGAAGACUCCAGCAAAUCCAAAGUUUCAGAGAGUUCUGUCUUUACCCGGAGUUACCUUGUUACUGAAAAUGACUGUGGUCUUUCAUAAUUACUCCAACAAAAAUGCAGCCGCCAAUGAGCUCCCUGUGCUCAAUUAGCUUAUAAUAGUCAGUAAGAGAGCUGCUGAAGUUUAAUCCAACUACCCCAGAAGACUUUUUAUCCCAACUACCUAAUGAAAACUUUAGAAUUUGCUUUUUUUUUUUUCCCCUUGUCCCAGGCAAGUGAAAGAAUUCCAAUCAAAACGGGACUGGUUUGGGGGAAGGAGGAGGGAGUGCGUUAACUACUGGGGAAAAGUCUGGAAGACAUGUCUUUGUCAGGUUGAAUCCUGGAGAGAGCCAACAAAAGGAGCCCCUGACUACAGAGGUAUCCGCCCCUCUCUCCCACUGGCUUCCAUCUACGCGGUGAACAAGCUCAGUCUUCACUAAAGGCAUACACAGGGGCUUCACCCACGUGGUCCGAGGAGGUGGGCUGGGGCACGUCCUGAGACCGUCCUCGGAUGCUUCCUCCAUUGGCCCUCCAGGGUGGCCAACUCUGUCCUCAGCCUCACCCAGAGGCAGCCCUCUGACCUGUCUUCUCAACCUAGGCUUUGUGGGGUUCUAGGUACUCGUAACAUAUUUUUUAGUCCAUCAAAUCCUAUAUGAGAAAUUUACAAUCUUCUGGGUCCGCAUCCAAUUUUAAGCCUUGCUUUCACAUGUGUUUGUUUUAUGGAUGCCUCAACUUGGAGGGGCCCCCUGAAGUGGCAGCUUUUCAUCUUUAAUGCAGUGUUUCUCAACCUCCAGGCCAAGGAGGCCCACAGCCAUCACAGGGAUUGGAGGACUCCCAAGUGCAAGAAACUGGGCUCUAAGUCUCUGCCAGGUGGCUAUGGGCGGAGGAGGAUGAGGAGGAAAGAGAUGCCUGCCUGGAUGGUUCUAGCUCACAGAAGUUCUUGCUUCCUCUUGUCCAGAAAGCCAAACCAUGCAUCCUGAGCCCUUCACUUCUUCAACAGAUAUUUCCUGAGAGCCUGCUAUGUGUCCCGCUGUGAGGAUGCAACAGAGCACACUACUGACAAGGUCCCCGCCUUCCAUCCUUGUCUUCUCAUCCAGAUUGCUGACUCCUGGGGCUGGAGGGAAGCAGGCAGCACCUCAGGCUGAUUUCGCGUGAUAGGGAAAUGAAGAGGAGAGGAGGACGACAGGGAGAGAAAGGAGGAAAAACUGCGAAGGAAGAACAAGCCGGAGCUCCGUCUGCCUUUCAGAAAUGACAUCUCUGCGGAAUUCAAUGCGGCCUAUUCUCAAGCAUCGGAGAAACUCUUUUCUUGCCUCCUCCUUCACCCCACCCCAACCAGAUUAGAAAAAAAAAAUUAAUGGUGUAUGAUGACAAACUUGGCUCAGCACUCACUGUACAUACUGUACCCACAAGUCUGGCUCGCAGCCAGGCCUGGCCUGGAGCCAGGACUACAAUAACAAACACAGGCAAUGCUCGCCAAGAGGGGGUGGGGCAGCACACAGAGCUAGCCAGGAAGUGAGAGCCGUUCGGCUCUGCUGAGCAGAAGAAAACAGCAGGAAUGUGCCAGUGCAAGGGCAGCAACAUUUAGGGGGGCAACCACAACCCCUACCCAGAUCCUGGACUCACUUCUCCACAGCCUGCGCCUUUUGAAAAAAAAUGCUCGCCUCCCCCCCGCCUCCCCCGCCCAGGGUUCUGGAGCAACUACUGUUCUUCCAGGCUGUGGGCUGCUUGAACCCUUGGUCAUCUGUAAAAUGGGUCUACUCUACAGACCUGGCACACCCAUUCUCACUGUCAGCUUUCUUCAUGGAACCUUCAAAAUAGAGCAGCAGGAAAACCUCACAUCAUCUAAUUCAAUGUCUCUUCUAAAACAUCACCUAGUUCUGUUUUCAGGCAUCAGAACAUGUAAACCACUACUGGAAUCUGUAAGAAGACCCAGCGCCACCAGCCCAGCCCUCUGACCCCAACUCCCCAACAAGUCCAGGUCACUCCAGAGGCCCCCAGGGCCUGUUUAACAGUGGCCAAACAAUUCAGGAAAUGGUCUAGCCUCACUAAGCCCUUUGUGCUAUUUUAUUUUCAAGACCUCUCAGCACGGAGGUGAGGAGUAUGCCGGACAACAGAAAGAAAAAAAAGAAUAGAAAUAUCAGAAUAUAGGCCGUGAGCUAUCUGCAAGGGUGAAUUAAAACACUACUAUGACUCAUCGCACCUGCCUAAUCAUCAAAUCAUCCUUUCCAAGGGCAUUGGCAAGUGACUAGCAGAGGGACAAAUCAUUUGACACAAUCAGCCUUCAGUGCCCAGUAAGACAGGCAUGGAAAGGAAAAACUAGGAAAAGAGGACCCAACUCCCAAAGCCUCUGGAGCAGCCAUAUGAGAUCAGGGGACCUGGAAGCAGCAUCUCAGGUGGAACCAAAGUCAGCUUCCCCAGGGAACCGCCAGCUCCGCAGGGCAGUUGCACAGUCACACUCUUGUCUGAACUGGGGACACCGGGCCCACCUGACAUGAGUAUGCAAGCAACCCUUUCUUUUCUGCAGCCGCUUCCACCAGCCCCACCAAUGCUGCUGAUGUGUGAUUCACAGCAGAGACACUGGCUAACUCACACUGGGUCACACCGCCUGGAAGAGGGAUACAAUACGAGCCAGGGGCUCCUGGCUGUCCCCUCCAGUGAGUCCUUAGGACAUAAACAGUUCCUACCACAGGAGGGACUUGUCCGGAGAGAGGAGUGUCCCUGUUCAUCGGCAUCCCAGGCUGCAUCAUUCACUCAACAAAUACUUCUUGGCACCAAUAAUGUGCCAGGCAGUGUGCUGGACAUAACGUGGACAGGAUCUAACCCCAUGACAUGUUAGCUAUGGUGGUAUGUAUUCAAGGUGAGCCUCACAGCUUCUCCGAGAUAGCGUUAAAUAUUUUCAUUUUACAGAUGAGGAUACUGAGGCUGUAAGAGCUUAUGGUUCUUGCCCCAGAUCACAUCAGCAGUAGGUACGUGUCCAAAUUCCUUCCACCAUGUAACCCCGCCUCCCAAGUAAGAGAGAUAAGUCCAUAAAUAACUGUAACACAGAAGAAAAACUGCACCCAAAGAUAGCUUCAAAUAAAGAAACAUGGGCACAGAAAA